GUGGGGAAUAUUGCGCAAUGGGGGGAACCCUGACGCAGCAACGCCGCGUGAAGGAGGAAGUAUUUCGGUAUGUAAACUUCUAUCAGCAGGGAAGAAGGAAGUGACGGUACCUGCAUAAGAAGCCCCGGCUAAUUACGUGCCAGCAGCCGCGGUAAUACGUAAGGGGCAAGCGUUAUCCGGAUUUACUGGGUGUAAAGGGUGAGUAGGCGGUUCGGCAAGUCAUAUGUGAAAUACCCGGGCUUAACCCGGGAACCGCAUAAGAAACUGUCGAACUUGAGUACAGGAGAGGUAAGCGGAAUUCCCAGUGUAGCGGUGAAAUGCGUAGAUAUUGGGAAGAACACCGGUGGCGAAGGCGGCUUACUGGACUGAAACUGACGCUGAGUCACGAAAGCGUGGGGAGCGAACAGGA
rnacentral:rRNA from 1 species